rnacentral:rRNA from 1 species
CAAGAGCGUAUCUUAAAAUUGUUGCAGUUAAAAAGCUCGUAGUUGAACCUUGGGUCUGGCUGGCCGGUCCGCUUUUAUGCGAGUACUGGACCCAGCCGGGCCUUUCCUUCUGGCAAGCCCUCGUGGCGAACCAGGACUUUUACUUUGAAAAAAUUAGAGUGUUCAAAGCAGGCCUUUGCUCGAAUAUAUUAGCAUGGAAUAAUAGAAUAGGACGUUAUGGUUCUAUUUUGUUGGUUUCUAGGACCAUCGUAAUGAUUAAUAGGAACGGUCGGGGGCAUCAGUAUUCAGUUGUCAGAGGUGAAAUUCUUGGAUUUACUGAAGACUAACUACUGCGAAAGCAUUUGCCAAGGACGUUUUCAUUAA